UUUAAAAAUUGUUUCAUAUGAUGUUUUAAAAUUUAAACAUAAAAAAUAAAUAAAUGAAGAACUUGAAAAAAGAACUUAAACAAAGAAAGAAGAAGAAAGAGGAAGAAAGACUUUUC
rnacentral:rRNA from 14 species